GGCAUCCAAGGCCUUCGUGGUCUCUUCCAGUCUUUCCAGACUAGUCUCAAAUGUGCCCGACGUUUCAGCCAUUCCACACAGUUCUCUAUUUGCUCACAGUUCUUUUAGCUUCCCCCGCCCCCAUCCCCCCCCACACUCCUUCCUGGCCCAGCUCAAGUGCUCAUUUCCCCAACCCUGCUUGUGUGUAUUGUCUACCCUCCAUCACUGUGUGUGUCCCAUCCAGCCCUGUGUCUCAGUUGCCUUGUUUUGUUUUGUCUGCUGCCCCUCUGGACCUGCUCCUCUCGGCAGAUAUGAAGUCUGCUCACUGCAUCCCCAGGGCCUGUCCCAUGAGCUGCUUCAGGGGACACAGGAUGCGUGGAGACAAACAGAAAGGAUUCUCACAGCUCUGCGUCUGCAGCCUGGGGAAGGGACACCAGCUGCUCCCUCCCGUUCCCCCCGCCCCUUUGGUAUCUUUAGUAUCUUCCUCUCCAUGGACACCUCUCUGCCCUCAAAAUGCCGAGGAUUCAGCAUCCCAAACAGGACUGGAUUUCCCCAAAGGGUAAUAUUCAAAGAUAUGUAUAGGUCAUUCACAAAAUAAAAAAUACAACCAACUAAGAAACAUUUGAGAACAUGUUGUAACUUACUAGUAGUCAUAGAAAUGCAAAUUAAACCGUGAGAUCACAUAGCGUCUGCGAUAUGCAUCAAGAGCUGUAAAAUGUUCAUACCAUCUGUCUCAUUACCCACAUCUGUGAUAAAUCCUAACAAAACCCCACAAAUACUGGAAACACUUAAUGCCCAACAGUUAUCCACAAUAUUCUUUUUUUUUUUUUUUUUUGCGGUACGCGGGCCUCUCACUGUUGUGGCCUCUCCCGUUGCGGAGCACAGGCUCCGGACGCACAGGCUCAGCGGCCAUGGCUCACGGGCCCAGCCGCUCCGCAGCAUGUGGGAUCCUCCCGGACCGGGGCACGAACCCGUGUCCGCUGCAUCGGCAGGCGGACUCUCAACCACUGCGCCACCAGGGAAGCGCUAACGUGAUAUUCUUUUGUUAAGGACUUUUUGAUUGUGAAAAAUAACACCCACAAAGUGUAUAGCAGUAAAUGUAUAGCUUAAUGAAUUAUUAUAAAGAAGUACUCAGUGUAAGCACCUAAGGUCACAAGAUGGAACACCCCAGUGCCCCAGGAGUCUGUGUGUCCCUUAAAAAUCACAAGGUCCCCCUCCCCAGAGAUAAGCACUUGCUUUUCUCCGUAGUUUGACCACCUCAGUAGACAUCCAUGAACAUGGUGCCUGUUUUGGGGGUUCACACAAGUGAAGGCACAGAGUUUGUGUUCUCUCCUCUCUGGUUUCUUUCACCCAACGUUACGGGAUCCUUUUUUUUUUUUUUCUUUCUACUUUACCCUCUUCCUGUCUUCUUUUAUUUUGUUGUUCAUUUUUUGAAAAUUGAAGUAUACUUGCUUUACAAUAUUGUAUUUGUUUCAGGUGUACAGCAAAGUGAUUCCAUUAUUUUUUUAAAGAUUAUAUUCCAUUAUAGAUUAUUCCAAGAUAUUGACUGUAGUUCCCUGUGUGGUACAGUAAAUCCUGGCUGCUUGUCUAUUUUAUGUGCCGUAGUUUGUAUCCCUUUCCCUUUUGGUAAUCGUAAGUUUGUUUUCUAUGUCUGCAAGUCUGUUUCUGUUUUCUGUAGAGAUUCAUUUGUAUUGUUUUUUGAGAUUCUAGAUAGAAGUGGUAUUGUAUAAUAUUUGUAUAAUAUUUGUCAUUCUCUGUCUUCUCUCACUUAGUAUGAUAUUCUCUAGGGUCCAGGAGCCUUUUUCUUGUGUCACCUGGAGCCAGGUGCAUACAUUUCUGCUGACCAGGUAGUUAAGUUAUAGGGAUUAUGAGGGAGAAUGUAUAUAAGCUCCUGUCACAGUGCCCUGCACUUAGUAGGCAUUUAAUACUGUUUCAUUCUUACCCUCCCUCUAUGACACAGGCCCAGCUCCAUUUCUAAGCAAGAUUCUCCACGCUUCCAACCCCAGUGUUGAUCUGCUUCCUAUCCUGCUACCACCACUUUUUACCACCACCUGGAAUCCAGAUUCUAUCCCCCUGGCCACCAGGGACAGAGCAGUCUCAGCAUAUUAUCGUCUGCUGUUCACACAGCUCCCCACUCCUGUGAGGGUUCUUAGGAUUUUCUUCAAGAAUAAGACAGGCAGAGCCCACCCCUCUAUCUCCCACCCAUCAUUCUUCACUAAGACCCUUCACUGACAAGGCAGGGCUGCUUCACAUUUCAGUAGGUGGAUCUUUGCACAAGGAUAUGGGAAGAUUUAAUCUGUAUUUCGGAGAAGGGUGACUGCCCAGACUUUCUGACAGUUUCUCAAAGAAGUUGAGGCAAGAGAAUGAAACCGGGAAAGGAGAGUCCAGAUGAAUGUGUGGGGUAGGAGGCAGGGAGGUGGGGAAGCAGGGAAGCUGCCUGGCUUGGAGAAGGGCAGUGGUGGGCAGAACAGGCAUCUGCAGGAGCAGCUUUUAAUCCCCCCUCUCUUUCAUUUCAUCCCCGCUUUAAAAAUUACCUUUGUGUCCCCACUGCACAGUUUCCAAUGUCUUGUGCCAUUUUGCAAGGUGAGUCUUUUGUGAUUACCACCGUGAUAGACUAGAUCUCAGGCAGGAUUCCUGAAAAUUUGUAUGGGUUAAGGGACAGGUUUUAUCAGGGAAACUUACCAAGAGAAGGUGGCAAGAAGAGAAGAAAAAGUGACCCUGGCUCUCUCAUCAUCACAUGGAAAUCAGUGUCUGGGCCUCAGUGAUUUGCUGGACACACAGAUUGGGGCUGUGCUCCAGAGGAAGGACGCUGUUCCCUUCUUACAGGGCAAGGGGUGAGAGCAGCCUUGACAGUGAGGGGACAGGCAGUAAGAGUUAGGUGCCAGCGAUUUAUAAUAGUUUUCUGGGAGUGCAGGCAGCCCAGCGCCAGGGACCUGGGGGACGUGGGACAUUUGUAAGCCCUCUGUCCCGGGGAUAGAGCUAAGGACCUCAUGGGACGUUGAGGGUGGGUGCAGACUCUCCCAGGAGGAGGAUGAACCCCCAAUACCAGUUGGGAUGGUGUCCAGGAAAACCAGAGUAUUCAGUUCUGCUUCUGGCUUUCUAGGAGACCUGGGCAACAGGCAACCAGUGUUCACUGAAUCCGUGGAUGAAGUCCUGUGUUCAGGUUUGAGGGAAACACCAGGCUCUUAGCCCGCAGUCACUGUCCCCAGGACUGAGCCUGCACUGCUCCUGGGUCUGGGCCGUGCUGGGGCAGGGGUGAAGCUGGUGCUCAAGGGGUUAGGUCAGGAGAAGUGGGGCGAGGCAGCCUGGCUGUUAGGACCUCUGGGAACUGGGUGGUUGGCAGGCCGAGCAGCAGAGUUCAAAGCAGGCAGGCGCCUCUGAGCACUGACUGGAGUCAGGAAUUCCUUCGGGGGAAAGGCUAGCUCAGAGGCCAAGGGGCCUUUAUCUUCAGUGAUACCUGGUGCAAGAAUUCUUUGGUGGUUUCAGGUGGAAGCUGCAACAUCCUCACAUCCAGGAAGCAUUUAUUCGGCACCCGCUACCUGCAGGGCCUGUGGGAGGCCUGAGGACACAAGUGGAAAAGGCUGUCCUGGCCUCAGGGCUCCCUUUCCCAUGGAGGCCACAGACCCCGCCUGCAGCUGGACCGGGACCAAAGUCUUCUUGCUGGAAGAAUGUUGACGUGCUGUUGGAAGGCCUCCUUUCGGGAAAUCACUAGCGGCAGUUUGAUCUUCAGCCGCCAGGUGACACUAGUGCCCAGGCGCUGCGCGGCCAGUCGGGAGGACGGAAGGAUGCUUUGAGGGAGGCUUCGGUGCUGGUUGCAGGUGGUGCUGCGAGGCCCGUGAGUCUUUUCCUUUCAUUCUCAGAUUGAGCACAAGGGUCGAACCAGAGAAACGGGGAAGGGGUGGCAGGUUGAUAGCUGGGGCGGCAGCACAAGAGUAAACCAGGAUUCAGCUAUUAGGAACUAAAUCCUGGGCAAAAUGAGCUUAUUUUGAGUGAGAGAUCUGUGAUCUGGGUGAGAAAUCAGGGGCAAGGUGCCGAUGUGGGAGAGGCCUAGGCUAGGAAUCAGGGUGGGGGGACCUGGAGGUCCACGUCUCAGACUGGGCUGGGUGAGAAUUAUUUUGGGCUAAGAGUGGGGCGGGUUACCAUUGAGAAGGGGGGACCCUUGAGGACCCUAUGUUUCAGAUCUGAGUUCUUGAUCCAAAUGAGAAACUUCUGAGGUGAAACAGCUUCAAAGAGGAGAGUGGGGGAACUUCUGCCUCACCCCUUGAGACAGACUCUGAGAGGUGAAGGCAGAUUGCCUGGGGAUGGGACACAGGGGCCUUCCUGGGACUGGGGUUCAUUCAGGGGGAAAUGCCCAGCUCUGGAGCAUUUCCCUGGAAGUAAGACUGCUUUGAAGGACUGAGAGAAGACCGCAUGUCAAUAUCAAACCCAGCUGCCACAAUUUCGUAUCAGGCACCCUUUCCAUCUUCACUUCUUCACCUCUCUGCGCUGGUUUUCUUCUCUGUAGAGUGGGGAAUCCUCGCCUCUCAGGUCAGUUUGGAGACAGCCUGAGGUGAACAAUGGGCAGUGCUUUGGAACCUGUAGGGCACUUCCCACCUGGUUCUCAUUUUGAGCACUCACAGCUGGGCACCUGCUGGGGUUGAAAUCCUGGCUUUCCCCUCCCCCACUGUGUGACGCUGGGUAAGUUACCCAACCUCCCAGUACCUCCGAUUUCUCAUGAUCCCAGUGACGAUGUUAAUAAGGACAGACCUCAUGAAACUGCUGUAAGGAUCUUUAAAGUGGCUCCUAAAAAUGGCCUUCAUAGACUGUUUUCAUUUCAAAGUUUCCUCAUCUUGUUCUUCUGAAUGUUGAAAUAUUACAAGUGUGCAUAGGUGUGGGUACCAAUCAGCACCACCUCUAUGUAUUUGGGAAGUUACAUUUGAAAGAAAUCUCCUGGAAGGCAUAAUUAUAUACUGCACACGUGGCCAUGGAAUACAUCUAACCUUCUGGAACAUACCCAGCUGACUGGUUUGGAUUUAGGGGACUCUGUAGUCUGCUAGAUGGAGGCCUUCAACGUCACACAGAUUUCACGUUAACCGUUCCCACAGGCUGCUCAUAUUUUCCAAGUCAUUAGAGCUGAGGCCCCUUUCUUAGGCAUGAUGCCACCAGACAGUGGCCUGAAGGGGAUAGCCAGAAAAUUGAUUAGCAUCAUUGAAACUCCCGUGGCAACAACUUUUUUCAAGUUUCUUAAAGAUAACCUGGAAGAAUUUCCUUCCAGAAAUUAAAAAACCCAGAGCCACAAUUGGAGCUGGACCCCCCCGGAGAUCUUCAGGAUGUAAAGGAAGAGGAGGAGACACCAGAGCUCGCUCUCUCUGUCUGUACAGAGAAAAGGUCAUGUGAGGACACAGUGAGAAGGUGGCCAUCUACAAGGUUUAAUGGCAUUUCUUUCUGGUGAGUGAAGAAUUUAAAAUCCAGAAAUGAGUUGGUGAAGGAAUUACUCUGUGAAGGAAGACCCUGACUACUGCACUCUUACAGCUGAGGAGAUGGAAGCACUGGGAGGUCAAGGCCCUGCUCAAGAGUUUGCAGCUGGUGAAUAAUGCAAUUCUACAGAUCUAUCAAUUGUCACCUGGCAGAGUUUUGGUUAAGAUGAGGUUCUGGUAAACAGAGACUUUAAUCAAGUAUUGGUACAAUAAAUGUAUGUGAACUAGCAUUCUUGUAUUGAAGUUAAAAAAACUAAAUAAAAUACAGAGCCUGAUGUGA